ensembl:lncRNA
AAGAGCAAGCUCUCAGGUGUCUUUACUCAUUAAAUCACUAAUCCCACCACGAGGGCCCCACCCUCCUGACCUCACCUAACCCUCUUCACCUCCCAAAGCCUCCACCUCCUAACACCAUCAUCACACUGGGGGUGGCUUGAGAAGCGCCAGACCAGCAGACAAGAGGUCUGAAGGCCCGGGACACAGGAAAAGUGAACUUCUUGCUGCUGCUGCUGCUGCUAAGUCACUUCAGUCAUGUCCGACUCUGUGUGACCCCAUAGACGGCAGCCCACCAGGCUCUCCUGCCCCUGGGAUUCUCCAGCAAAGCACGGCUGUAUUUUGUACAGAGGACACAGCUUCUACAAGCACACAGCUGCCGGCAUCAAAGAGCAGAGCCCAGCCAAGACGAUCCUGGUAGCGCUGUCUGGACCUGCGUGUGGGCUGUAGACCCCGCAUAGGAGGACACUGGACUCAGCAUCAGACAACAGCUGUCUGGUCAGGGCAGCGAGCUUUCAUUCUGUGAGCUUCAUUCCUGUUGCGACACGUCCUACCCUGGAAAUGCUGAACAGGCUCUGAGAACCUCUGAAUUCUAUAUUGACUCAAUGAAGCUUCAAGACUCACCUGAGGGCACAGCUCUUAUUAGCACGGGCCUUCAUACCCCUCGAGCGUUUUUCCACAUUUACAGAUGCUGUGAGUGACCCAGUCUUUCCAGAACCAGCAUUGGUGAUGUUUUCCC